AAUAUUGCACAAUGGAGGAAACUCUGAUGCAGCGACGCCGCGCGAACGAUGAAGGCUUUCGAGUCGUAAAGUUCUGUCCUUGGGGACGAUAAUGACGGUACCCCAGGAGGAAGCACCGGCUAACUACGUGCCAGCAGACGCGGGAAUACCGAGGGGGCUAGCGUUGUCCGGAUUUAUUGGUCGUAAAGGGUUCGCAGGCGGCCUUUUAAGUUAGAUGUGAAAAACUACAGCUCAACUGUGGUAAGCAUUUGAAACUGAAAGGCUUGAGUUAAGGAGAGGAAAGUGGAAUUCCUAGUGUAGCGGUGAAAUGCGUAGAUAUUAGGAGGAAUACCAGUGGCGAAGGCGACUUUCUGGACUUAUACUGACGCUGAGGAACGAAAGCGUGGGGAGCAAACAGG
rnacentral:rRNA from 1 species